CAUCUAAGUUUCAGGGACUGUUGGACAAAAAAAUCAACUUCUUCAAAGGUCAUCAUUAAGUAAUGAAUUGUGACAGUUUUGGAAAUAAGCCACAUUAGGUUGAGUAGCUUUUGAUAUGCAUUACAUUAUAAUUAAUUUUAGAGCUAAAUUGUAAACUAGUGCUAAGUAUAAACAACAAUGUAUUCACUAUUCCAGACAAAGCUUUUCUGACAUUUCCUGAGCCUGAGGGAAUAGCCUAUCUCAUGCAUAAGUGAAGCUUUCCGUUGGAAUAAACAGCUGAAUGAAUAAGGAACAUUUAUCUUAUGUCUCAAACUAUGUCUUGAGUGUGUCAUUAAAAUAUGUUGUAGUGCUUGAAUUAAAAAUUCAGUUUUACUAGUUUGCUGGUAUUCUGGUAGAUUAUUUAACUGCUCUUAUAAAAGCAUUCUUCAAAACACAGUGAUCUCUUAUGCAUAUCAGAAUGAAUGAAAAACAAGUUCUUAACUCUUUAUAAAAGGGUUAUGACAUUACUUUAUAUUUACCUAGUCUCUGAUUAAACUAUCUCAAUAGGUUGUUAUAAUGGGCCACCCUGAUUAGGCAACUUCCUGUCUUAAGACACAAACCCAGAGUAUCCUCAGACAUAGGAGCUCCAUACUUUUAAUGGAUCAUCAUGAAGCAAGCUCUGUGACUGGCUCAUCCUUAAUCCAAGGAAAUACCCAGACACACAUCAGCUAAGAGAGAAUGGUUAGACAACAGGGCAAGAAUGAAGACCAGAAUGCAAGAUAGCUAAAGAGAAACAUCUGAUCAUAUAAGAGGGACCCAGGAAGAAAAGCUUUAUGUUAUAUCCAAGUUGCAUUAAUAAUCCAUUUUGCUUGGCCAGUCAGCUUCAAAUUGUUUCAACAAUACAGUUAAAUUGAAUAUCUGAAAGUUAGUGUUGUUUGAUUGUGUUAACAAAGUGCAUUUGGCCUGCUGUCCAAACAGUGCCAUAGUGAAUGCAAUCUAUAAGAUGACAGAAGUGGAUGCUGGGAUCCAUCUGGUGCGUGCUCUUCUGGAACAUGACAAAAGUUUAUUGGAAGCAUGGAUGCCACAAUGGAAAGAUUCAGUGAGAGAACCUAUCAUCAUCAUCAGUAAUGAAUGAGUAUGAUAGUAUUUUGUGUAUUGAGUUUACUGGUGGAGCAUUGCCAUGUUCUGUUAAAGAUUCUGUCCAAAGGACUCACCAGGAGAAUUGUAUGCAGCAGGUAAAAAUGUGGAUAGGGUCUCUGGCGCAGUUCAACUAAAUGAUGUUCAUUUAUGAAACAAGCCUCAAAUUGCAGUGAUACAGCAACAUAAGCAGACCUCCCAAUAAAGUCAUCACACAGAGCACCACCUUCCGCAAAGCAAGCGGCCUCAUACUGUUAGUGGAAGGGAUUUUAAAAUGGGAAGAAAAUAAUGUGUAGGGCUGUUGCCCCUUUCAUUCAUCACUUUGGACCCCAUCAGUUUUUCCCUGGUAAUGUAUGGUAUAUAAUAUUCCCUGUAGGAUCUUGUCUUGCAAUCAAGCUCAGUGUAAUUUCUUCCUCUAACUUGACUAGUAAUUUGUUCUUAUUAAACAUACUUUAUUUCCUUUGUGCAUAUAGAGAUCAACAUGAAGGACAUUGCUGCAGCUGCAUUUGCUGAGAAGGAAGGGAUAAACUGCAUCCAGAGCUUUGCAUAGCGAGUAAACAUUGCAACCAGCUUGACAUGUUUCUACUUGUCUUUCUGCAGUGUUUCCUAUCUCUCUCAUUACAUAUUACAUGAACAUGCACUCUCUCUAUUAUCUAACAGAGCUAGUGUGAUGGGGUGGAUUAGGCCCAGAGGCUCCCUGCUGGAGACCUCAGGGUCCUGCCACACCCAUCCCAAGAAAGGAGCAGUGGAGAGGUCCUCCAAGCAGGCUAGAGUGGCUGCAGGGGAAGCAGCCAGUCAGGGCCCAGGAGGGCCCUAUAGAAAGGACCUACAGAAUCAGAGACCAGGCAGUUCCUCGACAGUUCAUCAGUACCUAGUCAUCUCACACCCAUUGAAAUCAAUGGGAGUUCAGCAACUAGGUGCUUUUGGACAAUCCCACAAGGUGCCUAUUUGCCAUUUAAGGUGCCUAAAAUAUCUUUACAAAAUCUGGCCCUUAGCAAUUGGGAGAAUGGUCAGGCACAUUUUGGCACUUGCUAAGGAUUCAUAAAGGCAAAAGUAGAGGAGUAGAGGAUGGCAGAAGAGAAAAGUAAGGAGAUGUUUAGUAAACAAGCUAAGGAGCUUGUAAAACUCUCCUCUCUGUCACAUCAUCUGUGGUGCUGUGAGUGUGGAAAGGCUUCCCUGCACAUUGCUGCUGACAAUUUGCAUUAUCUAUUUCAAGUCACUUGAUCUCAGUCCUAUAGCGCUGGCAUUGCAUCAUUUCUCCAUUGAUUUCAACAGGGACUGCUGGACUGUCAGCAUUUUUGAAAAUCAGACAACUUAUGUAGACACCUAAAUGUGGACUUAGGAACCAAACUGUAGGCAUUUACUUUUUAAAAAUCUUGAUAAUCUUUCAACGGGUCUGCUCCUUUAUCCAGAUCUGUUCCUUUAUAGUAUUUAUUUAAUUGGCUUCAUUAUUCACUUAAUAAUAUGGCAUAAGAAUGUAGUCACAGGAAGAAUUUACUA